AUUGAACGCUGGCGGCAGGCUUAACACAUGCAAGUCGAGCGGUAGCACAAGAGAGCUUGCUCUCUGGGUGACGAGCGGCGGACGGGUGAGUAAUGUCUGGGAAACUGCCUGAUGGAGGGGGAUAACUACUGGAAACGGUAGCUAAUACCGCAUAACGGCGCAAGACCAAAGAGGGGGGCCUUCGGGGCUCUUGCCAUCAGAUAUGCCCAGAUGGGAUUAGCUAGUAGGUGGGGUAAAGGCUCACCUAGGCGACGAUCCGUACCUGGUCUGAGAGGAUGAUCAGUCACACUGGAACUGAGACACGGUCCAGACUCCUACGGGAGGCAGCAGUGGGGAAUAUUGGACAAUGGGCGAAAGCCUGAUGCAGCCAUGCCGCGUGUGUGAAGAAGGUCUUCGGAUUGUAAAGCACUUUAAGUUGGGAGGAAGGGCAGUAAGUUAAUACGUUGCUGUUUUGACGUUACCAACAGAAGAAGCACCGGCUAACUUCGUG
rnacentral:rRNA from 1 species